GGGCGAAUGGUUUAGUGGUAUAAUACUCCCUUAGCAUCUGUUCCCUACUCUCCUCGAGAGUAGGACAAUUGUUACCUGGGAGUGGUCCGGGGUUCGAUUCCCCGUUUGUCCA
rnacentral:tRNA from 1 species